GAGUGGCGAACUGGUGAGUAACACGUGGGAAACCUGCCCAGAAGCGGGGGAUAACACCUGGAAACAGAUGCUAAUACCGCAUAACAACUUGGACCGCAUGGUCCGAGUUUGAAAGAUGGCUUCGGCUAUCACUUUUGGAUGGUCCCGCGGCGUAUUAGCUAGAUGGUGGGGUAACGGCUCACCAUGGCAAUGAUACGUAGCCGACCUGAGAGGGUAAUCGGCCACAUUGGGACUGAGACACGGCCCAAACUCCUACGGGAGGCAGCAGUAGGGAAUCUUCCACAAUGGACGAAAGUCUGAUGGAGCAACGCCGCGUGAGUGAAGAAGGGUUUCGGCUCGUAAAACUCUGUUGUUAAAGAAGAACAUAUCUGAGAGUAACUGUUCAGGUAUUGACGGUAUUUAACCAGAAAGCCACGGCUAACUACGUGCCAGCAGCCGCGGUAAUACGUAGGUGGCAAGCGUUGUCCGGAUUUAUUGGGCGUAAAGCGAGCGCAGGCGGUUUUUUAAGUCUGAUGUGAAAGCCUUCGGCUCAACCGAAGAAGUGCAUCGGAAACUGGGAAACUUGAGUGCAGAAGAGGACAGUGGAACUCCAUGUGUAGCGGUGAAAUGCGUAGAUAUAUGGAAGAACACCAGUGGCGAAGGCGGCUGUCUGGUCUGUAACUGACGCUGAGGCUCGAAAGUAUGGGUAGCAAACAGGAUUAGAUACCCUGGUAGUCCAUACCGUAAACGAUGAAUGCUAAGUGUUGGAGGGUUUCCGCCCUUCAGUGCUGCAGCUAACGCAUUAAGCAUUCCGCCUGGGGAGUACGGCCGCAAGGCUGAAACUCAAAGGAAUUGACGGGGGCCCGCACAAGCGGUGGAGCAUGUGGUUUAAUUCGAAGCUACGCGAAGAACCUUACCAGGUCUUGACAUACUAUGCAAAUCUAAGAGAUUAGACGUUCCCUUCGGGGACAUGGAUACAGGUGGUGCAUGGUUGUCGUCAGCUCGUGUCGUGAGAUGUUGGGUUAAGUCCCGCAACGAGCGCAACCCUUAUUAUCAGUUGCCAGCAUUAAGUUGGGCACUCUGGUGAGACUGCCGGUGACAAACCGGAGGAAGGUGGGGAUGACGUCAAAUCAUCAUGCCCCUUAUGACCUGGGCUACACACGUGCUACAAUGGAUGGUACAACGAGUUGCGAACUCGCGAGAGUAAGCUAAUCUCUUAAAGCCAUUCUCAGUUCGGAUUGUAGGCUGCAACUCGCCUACAUGAAGUCGGAAUCGCUAGUAAUCGCGGAUCAGCAUGCCGCGGUGAAUACGUUCCCGGGCCUUGUACACACCGCCCGUCACACCAUGAGAGUUUGUAACACCCAAAGUCGGUGGGGUAACCUUUUAGGAACCAGCCG
rnacentral:rRNA from 1 species